GGGGGUGUUCCGGAUUCGAUUCCAACCAAGAAAGUAUGGUGGCACGCGGAGGAUGAUGCUUGGCCUCCUUAAACAUGCAUCGCCACGAUAACUGGCAAGACGAACAACGUCAUCGCCUUCGAGCGUCCCUCGAUGGCACUCGCCGCUUAGUCGGUGACGGUCACGCCGGCCCACUCCUGUUAAGCCGCCGGACCGUCAAAAAAACAGGAAACACCUCCUUUUCCCGUCGGGUCUUCGGAGGCUAAAAAGAAAGACGCGGCUGGUUUGCGCGGGCGCUCCCGCCCCAAGGCAAACGAGACCCAAUCGGAGAGCUACGCGUGUAGAAACUAUGCCGGAUAGGUUGGAAGACGGGGGUUCAAAUCCCCCCACCUCCACCA
rnacentral:tmRNA from 1 species